UACUCGAGAAAAAAAAAUUCGAUGGCUGGUACAACAAAUCGAGAAAAUUGUCGAUUUCUCUCCGAGCCAAUUCAAGAUGGAUUCAGAUGAUCAAUUUUUAUUUUAUUUUCCGAUCAUGUAAUCGAAUCUACAAGAUGGCCGGUGAACAUGCUCCGAUUUGAAACAUGUUUCUUCUAAAUCCCUAGGUGAUUACUGCCACGGAUAUACAUAUUAACUCACGUACCGGCACUAAUGGCUUAUCUCCCAAGAGCAGACAAAGGAUCCUCAAUUGAAACACGCCAUGCAAACUUGCAAGGUAAAACAUCUCUAUAAGGAAAUCUUGCCAAAAAGAUAUACUAUUAACGAUUGACGAAAAUUAAGGAAAAUCCAAACUCAAGAUUUGCGGACUACCACAGAUAGUUUUUUUAGGAAAGUCUCAAUUAAUUGGGAAGUUGCAAAAGUGGAAAACGAUAAUAUUUCCCCGAGAUUCUUGCAAUUAUUUUUGGGAAGUCUCA